GUCCCGCCUGCCCAGUGAUAUAUUUUUAACGGCCGCGGUAUUCUAACCGUGCAAAGGUAGCGUAAUCACUUGUCUUCUAAAUAAAGACCAGUAUGAACGGCUAAAUGAGGACAAACCUGUCUCCUAUAACAAAUCAGUGAAACUGAUCUCCCAGUACAAAAGCUGGGAUAAACACAUAAGACGAGAAGACCCUGUGGAGCUUACAAACAAACGGUCAAUAAGCCACUUACCAAAGAGAACAAUGACCAUGAGUUUUUAGUUGGGGCGACUUCGGAAAAAACAAAACUUCCGAGAACAGGACCAUCAGCCCUUUCCAAGGGUUACAACCCAAAGAA
rnacentral:rRNA from 1 species